rnacentral:lncRNA from 1 species
GCAUUUCCAGGUUCGAUUAAACCCGAUUGUGGUUCCAGAAUCGGAUUGAUUCGAGAAGGUUCAACUUACGAAGAUGGAACACAUGCUGCAUUCCUGUGGUUCAUCCAAGCUUAUCGUCGUCCUCAGGCAUGACAACCUCCACAAGCUAUUUCUCCUCUUCCGUUCAUCCAAGCUUAUCGUCGUCCUCAGGCAUGACAACCUCCACAAGCUACAACCUCCACAAGCUAUUUCUCCUCUUCCGUAAUGGAUUCUGAUUUCAACUGAUUCGAACCGUGAUCACGUCUUGGUUCCAUCAUAGUAAAUGCUUUAUUCAAUUUUCCAUUUGCAAGGCAUCCCAUAUGCUGUUCGAUAGCAAUUAGAUGUUGCUGAGGGAAAAUUGUUUGAUUGUAUGUAUGAUCGAUCAUAUGAUCAGAAGUGAAAGAAUGACUCGAUAAGAUUAAAAGGUACGGUGGCCAGAGUAUCAAUAUUAAUGUAUUUGGAUCGAUCACUUGUUGAGGGCG